GAUGAACGCUGGCGGCGUGCCUAAUACAUGCAAGUAGAACGCUGAAGGAGGAGCUUGCUCUUCUGGAUGAGUUGCGAACGGGUGAGUAACGCGUAGGUAACCUCCCUGGUAGCGGGGGAUAACUAUUGGAAACGCUAGCUAAUACCGCAGGACAACAGUUAUUGCAUGAUAACUGUUUAAAAGAGGCAACUGCUCCACUACCAGAUGGACCUGCGUUGUAUUAGCUAGUUGGUGAUGUAACGGCUCACCAAGGCGACGAUAGAUAGCCGACCUCGGAAGGGGAUCCGCCAAAAUGGGACUGGGAAACGGGCCAAGCUCCUACGGGAGGCAGCAGGAGGGAAUCCUCGGCAAUGGACGGAAGGCUGACCGAGCAACGCCGCGUGAGUGGAGGAGGUUUUCGGAUCGUAAAGCUCUGGUGUAAGGGAAGAACGAGUGGGAGAGGGGAAAGUUCACACUUUGACGGUAUCUUACCAGAAAGGGACGGCUAACUACGUG
rnacentral:rRNA from 1 species